GAUGAACGCUCGCGGCAGGCUUAAUACAUGCAAGUCGAGGGACAGCACAGGUAGCAAUACUGGGUGGUAACCGGCAAACGGGUGCGGAACACGUACACAACCUUCCCUUAAGUGGGGGAUAGCCCAGAGAAAUUUGUAUUAAUACCCCGUAAUAUAGUUUGGUGGCACCACUGGACUAUUAUAGCUACGGCGCUUAAUGAUGGGUGUGCGGCUGAUUAGAUAGUUGGUGGGGGAACGGCCCCCCAAGCCGACGAUCAUUAACUGGUGUGAGGGCACGACCAGUCACACGGGCACUGAGACACGGGCCCGACUCCUACGGGAGGCAGCAGUAAGGAAUAUUGGUCAAUGGACGGAAGUCUGAACCAGCCAUGCCGCGUGGAGGAUGAAGGUCCUCUGGAUUGUAAACUUCUUUUAUAGGGGGCGAAAAAAGGGAAUUCUUUCUCGUCUGACGGUACCCUAUGAAUAAGCACCGGCUAACUCCGUGCCAGCCGCCGCAGUAACAC
rnacentral:rRNA from 1 species